GACGAACGCUGGCGGCGUGCUUAACACAUGCAAGUCGAACGGUGAAGGGGAGCUUGCUCCCCGGAUCAGUGGCGAGCGGGUGAGUAACACGUGGGCAACCUGCCCCAGACUUCGGGAUAACGCUUCGAAAGAGGUGCUAAUACCGGAUACGAACUCCUUGGGCAUCCUGGGAGUUGGAAAGUUUUUCGGUCUGGGAUGGGCCCGCGGCCUAUCAGCUAGUUGGUGAGGUAACGGCUCACCAAGGCGACGACGGGUAGCCGGCCUGAGAGGGCAACCGGCCACACUGGGACUGAGACACGGCCCAGACUCCUACGGGAGGCAGCAGUGGGGAAUAUUGCGCAAUGGGCGAAAGCCUGACGCAGCAACGCCGCGUGAGGGAUGACGGCCUUCGGGUUGUAAACCUCUUUCAGCAGGGAAGAAGCGAAAGUGACGGUACCUGCAGAAGAAGCACCGGCUAACUACGUGCCAGCAGCCGCAGUAACAC
rnacentral:rRNA from 1 species